rnacentral:rRNA from 1 species
AUUCCGGAUCAGCCGCCGCCGUAACACAUGCAAGUCGAACGGUAACAGGUCUUCGGAUGCUGACGAGUGGCGAACGGGUGAGUAAUACAUCGGAACGUGCCCGAGAGUGGGGGAUAACGAGGCGAAAGCUUUGCUAAUACCGCAUACGAUCUCAGGAUGAAAGCAGGGGACCGCAAGGCCUUGCGCUCACGGAGCGGCCGAUGGCAGAUUAGGUAGUUGGUGGGAUAAAAGCUUACCAAGCCGACGAUCUGUAGCUGGUCUGAGAGGACGACCAGCCACACUGGGACUGGGACACGGCCCAGACUCCUACGGGAGGCAGCAGUGGGGAAUUUUGGACAAUGGGCGCAAGCCUGAUUCAGCCAUGCCGCGUGCAGGAUGAAGGCCUUCGGGUUGUAAACUGCUUUUGUACGGAACGAAAAGACUCUGGUUAAUACCUGGGGUCCAUGACGGUACCGUAAGAAUAAGCACCGGCUAACUACGUGCCAGCCGCCGCGGUAAAAC